rnacentral:rRNA from 1 species
UACGGGGGGGGCAAGCGUUGUUCGGAAUUACUGGGCGUAAAGGGCUCGUAGGCGGCCAACUAAGUCAGACGUGAAAUCCCCAGGCUCAACCUGGGAACUGCGUCUGAUACUGGAUGUCUUGAAUCCGGGAGAGGGAUGCAGAAUUCCAGGUGUAGCGGUGAAAUGCGUAGAUAUCUGGAGGAACACCGAUGGCGAAGGCAGCCUUCUGGGCCAACACUGACGCUCAUGCACGAAAGCGUGGGGAGCAAACAGG